GCGGAGGAAAAGAAACCAACAGGGAUUGCCCUAGUAACGGCGAGUGAAGCGGCAACAGCUCAAAUUUGAAAUCUGGCUCUUUCAGAGUCCGAGUUGUAAUUUGCAGAGGGCGCUUUGGCUUUGGCAGCGGUCCAAGUUCCUUGGAACAGGACGUCACAGAGGGUGAGAAUCCCGUACGUGGUCGCUAGCUAUUGCCGUGUAAAGCCCCUUCGACGAGUCGAGUUGUUUGGGAAUGCAGCUCUAAAUGGGAGGUAAAUUUCUUCUAAAGCUAAAUAUUGGCCAGAGACCGAUAGCGCACAAGUAGAGUGAUCGAAAGAUGAAAAGCACUUUGGAAAGAGAGUCAAACAGCACGUGAAAUUGUUGAAAGGGAAGCGCUUGCAGCCAGACUUGCUUGCAGUUGCUCAUCCGGGCUUUUGCCCGGUGCACUCUUCUGCAGGCAGGCCAGCAUCAGUUUGGGCGGUGGGAUAAAGGUCUCUGUCACGUACCUUCCUUCGGGUUGGCCUUAUAGGGGAGACGCCAUACCACCAGCCUGGACUGAGGUCCGCGCAUCUGCUAGGA
rnacentral:rRNA from 1 species